CUUUUUUCAUACCAAUAAAGACCAGGCUUUUUGCUAUCGAAUGCUACCUUUCGUGUAUCAUUGCGAUCAAAAAUAGCCACAUACAAUCCGAUUUAAAAAUGCCGCUCAAAAUCGCAUUUGGAAAUUGCAUCUAAACCGGGCUAUAGUAUUGUCUGAGCAGUGAAAUUAUUCUCAUUUGGGAUCCAAAUUGAAGACCCUUGAGUAAAUAUGGCGCAACGCAUGUAUACAAGUAUCAUAUUGUGAAACAAAUUUUACCCGCAAUUUUACAUCAAACAACACUGGAAGCUUGCAACCUCGCAAGCCAGGGUCUUUUACCUGCGCUCGGGCUGGGAAGCUUGCAGACUGGACUCGCAAUGACAUACGUUUCCCAAAUGGGCAACAAACAUUUGGGCAAAUGUUCGAAAAUUGGAAGAACAUCUAAAUCCCAAAGGUGGAAA